UAUCUCUUACAGAUUUUGAGUACCUAAUUAAGAAAAUUUUAUUUAUUGUCGUGAAUGUAAUGACAUCUAUAGGAGUGUAUGACAUUUUCACUUGUAAUCUUAUUUUCCUUAAGGAUUAUACAAAAUAAAUAAAAGACAAUAAUAAUCAAUAUUUCGUUUAAUAAUUAUAAUUUAGUAAAUCGUUAUAUUAUAGUAAAUCGGUUUCUUAAUUUGAUAAAUCUUUGCCGUAAAUCUUUGUUUACCUGUUUUAGUUUCUUUAUAAUUUCCAACAACUUCUCCCUCUUCUUUGCUUCCCUAUAUUUAAUUCUAUUUACUAGCAAUUUUCCUGGCGAAACAACAGUUUUAACUUUUAAGCUUGUAUCAGAGCUUAAUGGGUGUUUGGAAUGCACAACCUAGAAGGGAAAGAAUGCCGAGAGGGAACAAGAGAAAGGAAGAAAUUUUGAAGCAACACCGAGAAGCAAAAAACGCCAAAAGCUUCAAUUAAAAAUGAUCCAGUAUUAUACGAAAAAUGAAACAGAAAAUAGUGCUACUUCUUAAAAAACAAAAGAAAAUAAUAAAUAUCAAGCUUAGAUGAAUUGAAUCCAAAAGAACAGCGCUUAAAGCGAAAACAAUGGAGAGAAUAUACUAGAAGAUACAGACAGAAAAUUGGAGAAGAGAAAAAGAAACAAAAAAUGUAAAACAAUUAGAACAGAGAUAAAUAGUUACGUGUUUCCCAUGGAUUUGUUGCUAUACUUCAGGUUACGUCAACAAUGUGACAGCUAAGAAGAAACUAGCGCCCUCACCUAAGCCAUCACAUCAUGACCUAAAGGACUGGAAAUACCUACAAGAAAAACGUGCAUACCUAAACUGCAAAUAUACACAUAAACAUAUAAUAAAAAGAUUUACGACCAAAAAUACCUUCUACGCAAUCGUGGUGCGAGUGUAACGGAAUUAAGAAGGAUUUAGUGGAUUAUCCUGAAAACAAUAACACUAUUUUAGGUGAUGUUCUGAAUUAUUUGGUCAACUGUGGUCAUAAACUGAUAUAAACUUUAUUUUCACUGAAAAUCUUGCCUGCAUGAAGUCCAUAUUUAAAUAAGUCUUCGUGUGUGAAGUGUUCCAAGCUUUUUUUCGACCGUUUACUGGGUUGAAAAUUUUACAGCGUGAGGCGUAUCCUAUAGAUUUCGUUUUUUUAUCUUAUGGAAAACGAUUUUUCCCAAUAUUUCGGCACCCGAAUAUGCUACAGUGUUGUAUAUUUUCACAAACGAAUGCUUACAUAAUGAAAGGAUUAAUAAAGUACUCUAAAAGUUUUAAUCGACAUAGCAAAAGGCGGCACAGAUUGUGUGUACCUAACAUACAGUGCCCUACUCUGUCGGGAUAAAUGUGCAGUAAUACUCCCCCUAUUUUACUACAGCCUGUCUGCAUGACGUCAGCCCUUUCAGGUUUCACGCUUUAGUAAGUACUAACCCACCAAUUCCAUGGUUAUCACAUAUAAUAACUAUAUGAUAGUGGAGGCAGCCAGGAGCACUAACACUAAAAACUUUUUAAAAAUAAUCAUAAGAAUUCACUCAAAUCUGAAAUGUAACAUCAUCUUUUUGUUUGAUGUCCCUGUUUCAUUUUUGCAGCAGAAAACUAGCAUGACCGUUACCUACCAGGUUACUCAUUCCCUCGCUAGUUUAGAUAGGAUUCCGAGCACAUCUAGUUCACAAAUACUUUUUACCUUAAUUUGUCCGAAUUAGGUACAUUAAAACCACUGUAGUUCAAGUAUAAAAUAAUAAGGUUAACCAGUUUCUAGUUAAUCCAGUAGGAACAAGGAAGGGCAAGAGUAAGUAAUGCAAGCAAUGUCUGACCAAGUUCUGUCAUUCAAACUAUGUAACUGUUAUUCUCUAAGUUUGUUAUUUAAGUCUGAGAAAUUUUAACAUUUUUGUAAUGAGGAGAGAAGGGGAUUACAGAAGGAGGAAACUGAAGAGAUGCAUGUACCUAUUGCGUUUGCGUGGGGGACAAAUUGUAAGGAGUUAGAAUAUGACACGUUAAUUAGAAACAAAGACACUAGAAAAAAUAAGACAUUGCGUAUAAUAAAAAAAUAUUUUUCCAUCGAUUUUACUUUUCCCUGACCACCUUGUGGUAGCCCAAAAGAGGACACCCCAUUAACGGUUAGUGUCUUUCGUAAACGUAUAAAAGAUGCGCAAGGCCUCACUCAAGGAGCUUUAUCAAAGUCAAAGCCCAGCUACAGAUUAUGGACGCCAAUGUAUUUAUUAAACUGCUACUCUAUAUCUAUUUACAUAAAAAUUAAGUAGUAAAUACUAUAUUUCCAUUUUCAAACCGUAAUAUUGUAUCUUUUGAUAAAACGUUUAUUUCCCUUCACCAUUUGUUACAUUAUUAUGCCUUAAAAAACCAAUAUUUCUUAAAUAUCGUACAAUGAACGGUGUUGACGUUAAUGUUAUUGCUAUUCGAACUGGGGCAAACAAUUUGUGUAUUGCAUAUGCAACGACAAAAGUUCCAGCAUUUGAUGACACUACUUUAGACACUGUUCCUUCUCCAAUAUUGAAAUAUUGCAGUAACGCUAUUACGUCGACACCACU